rnacentral:lncRNA from 1 species
AGGUGCGGGAUUAUUAAGUUCAAAAGGAAACGAGAGAGUAGGACAACUUGUUUCAGUAACUUUCACCGGAAGGGAGGUUGACUAUUUCAUCAUAGAGGGAACUCCAGAAGACAAGUAGAAAUCGACAUGAUCUAUUUCAUUUGGAGUACCUAGUACCUUCCUAGGAGGAGAAAAUGAGUGAGACAUGAUGAGACAAAGAAAAUAGAGGAAGCCUUAAAGAAGAAAAGUUAGGGUUUUGGUAGAGAAAGGCAAAG